ensembl:lncRNA
GAAAAAGCUGCAGCGGGUAUCUCCUGAGCAGUUGAGUUAUUACACCGAACUAAUCAUCUCCAGAUUAAAUUAUUUCUGACAGUUUUACAGUUAGAUUUGAUCCAGUUUAAAAGUAAAAGCUGGUUAUUUUGUCUGUGUUUGAGGAAUUAAAACUCCGUUCUGUUUUUAAACCCGAGGUGCAGUCUUUGGAUACUGAUGAAGAUUUACUGCCCUGCAAGAUCUUCCUCAACUGCAUAGUCUGGAGCGAAGGAUGCAACAGAGCCCAGAUUACAAGCAAAAACUGGGCGGAUGUGCUCGACUGCACCUGGCGCAUACUGAAGAGGGUGAUUGCUAACUCCCUGGCAAAGAAUCUCAAUUGGAGGGGAGUCAAUGGAAAGACUUCACUCUCCGCUCUCCAACUCGGAGAGGUCGUGAUUG